rnacentral:lncRNA from 1 species
GUUAAAAAUCUAACUUUGAAAGAAGUACAAAAAAAUUUACAUUCUAAAAAUACAUCUAAAAUAAAAAAAUAUUCAUAUUCAACUACCACAUUAAGAAUAAAAUUUGUAAAGGACAAUAAAAAGGUUUUUUUUAGUUACAUUAUAUAAUUAUCUAUUCUUUUUAGAUACUAUAAUUAUAAGUGAUAUCUAUUUAUUAUAUGGUACAAAAUUAAAAAAAAUAAAAUUUAGAAACUUAUUAAAUUUAUUAAUUACAAAAAAAAUUAGUCAUAUUUUAAGCUUUUAUAAUUAAUAUUCUUAUAUUUAAAUAUAAUUUUAUAUUCAAAAAAU